rnacentral:lncRNA from 1 species
UCUGGUGGUUUUAAACAUGUAAACUAGGCUGCUUGUUCAAUUUUCUCUGUGGAGAAAUGAAAACCAAGAAAUUCGAAGGUAUGCUGGUUUCCUUGUUUUCAUUUGGUGUUUUGCCAUAAAGUUUGAAUGGAUAUGUUAAAAACAACAAAUUAAUUCGGUAAAGAAUUGUGAACUGACAUUAAUUAUUAACCUUGUGCAGUAAGCAUAUCAGGCCAUUUAAUACUGUUAAACGUAUAGAAUUUAUAUUAGAGUAUAAGCGUGAAUUAGAGGUGUACUAAAAUGGUUUAGCUUUUGCCAUAUGUCCAGGGGCUGAGACAGGACGACUUUACUAUGCCCUUGUUUGAGCCCCAUUUUUGUGAAGAAAAUGAAUUUUUGAAUAGCGUAGAAAUAUGUGGUUAAAAAAUAAGGAAAUUUUUUUGAUUUUGUGUAUAAUAUUAUUUUAUUGAAUAAUGUGUGAUUGAAAUGAUAUCAAAUUACUGUUUAAGAAUGUAUUUUGGUUGAAAAAUGGGGCUCAAACAAGGGCUAUAACUAAUUGGGGAGAAUACAAAAGAGUAUUACGCACUCAAUGCUAACUCACCCAUCUACCUAUACCAACACAAAAUAUAUACUAGGAGAUAAUAUCAAAAGAGCAAAAAGUACUCAAAUUGACAUCCCCAGCAAAAAGCAUCUACACUAGGUGAAACUAUAUAGGAUUCCCAUAUCUCACAACAAGAUAGCCAUUAACUAUCUGGGAUAUAACCGAAGUACUAAGGAAUCUCCUAUUUAUAGAACAUAAAGGCUUUUCUCUUUGACGUGGUGGGACGUACAAACUAACUCCUAUAAUGGAUAGGAUAUAUAAAUCGAAAUUGUAUUCUAUAUGAGAUUGUCUUCAAAACUACCAAAGAACAAAUCUUCACAUUGGUUUAAAAUUGUUCCAAGGCCUUCUAUAGGAAUUUCGUCAGGCAUCUCCCCCAAAGCAAAAUUUCCAAUGACUCCUCUUAAAGCUUCUCAUCAAAUUUAUCAAUUUUUCUUUUUGCUGUCAUAAUAGAAAAUCCCCCAAAACUCCACCUUUGAUACCAUAUCAAGCCCCUGUUUGACUACCAUUAAAAGAGCUCUUUUUUUUUUCCUUUUCUUUUUAAACUCAUUUUCAAUCACACAUUCUUACAAUAACAUAUUUUGCACUUAAUACAAAAUUUCUUCUUACUUUUUAA